CUACAUUUUCAAGCUGGUUCCUUUCUCACUUUUCCAGUGAUGACCAAUCUUGGUUUUCCAGAUGUCUGUGAACUACAUUGCCCAUGAUGCCUGUGACAUUUGGAGAUUUGAAAAUAAGAGAGACAAGAGGAGGGAUAGAAUCUGGGAUAAGAGUGGGAAAAUGCCAGUGAAGUAAAUUGUGACUCUGGUAAAAGGGAGACGUCAAUUCCUGUCCUGGUCACGGAGAAUUGCAGAAACAAAAAUGAUGCUCUUGCCCAAAAUUCAGUACCUUUUUCGGACACUUUCUAUUCAACUCAACAAAACGUACCUCC